rnacentral:rRNA from 1 species
UACGGAGGAUGCAAGUGUUAUCCGGAAUGAUUGGGCGUAAAGCGUCCGCAGGUGGCUAUGUAAGUCUGCUGUUAAAGAGUGAGGCUCAACCUCAUAAGAGCAGUGGAAACUACAUGGCUAGAGUGCGUUCGGGGCAGAGGGAAUUCCUGGUGUAGCGGUGAAAUGCGUAGAUAUCAGGAAGAACACCGGUGGCGAAAGCGCUCUGCUAGGCCGCAACUGACACUGAGGGACGAAAGCUAGGGGAGCGAAUGGG